rnacentral:rRNA from 1 species
UACGUAGGGGGCAAGCGUUGUCCGGAUUUAUUGGGCGUAAAGAGCGUGUAGGCGGCCAGAUAGGUCAGCUGUGAAAACUCGAGGCUCAACCUCGAGAUGUCGGCUGAAACCAUCUGGCUAGAGUCCGGAAGAGGAGAAUGGAAUUCCCGGUGUAGCGGUGAAAUGCGCAGAUAUCAGGAAGAACACCCGUGGCGAAGGCGGCUCUCUGGGACGGUACUGACGCUGAGGCGCGAAAGCGUGGGGAGCGAACAGG